GACAGAGGCCUCAAGCGUUAGGCGGAAUCACUGGGCUUAAAGCGUGUGUAGGCGGAUCGUUAAGUGCCUUGUGAAAUCCCACGGCUUAACUGUGGAACGGCUGGGCAUACUGGCGGUCUUGAGCCAUCUAGGGGCGACUGGAACAAACGGUGGAGCGGUGAAAUGCGUAGAUAUCGCUUGGAACGCCGAAGGUGAAAACAGACUGCUGGGGUUGCGCCGACGCUGAGACACGAAAGCCAGGGGAGCAAACGGG
rnacentral:rRNA from 1 species